UGGGUACCUGAGAAAGAGACCAGAAAAUGACUUCACAAUCUUUAGAACCCUAAACCCAAUACUAUUAUUAUAUUUUUUUAUUAAAUUUGUAUAUAAAGAGAAAGAGAGGAAAAAACACAAUCAAGUAUAGAUGCAAGAAAAGGUACAAAUUUUCUCCUUACAAGGGCGUGAGAAUCUAAGAGACAAAAGAAAAAGCUGAUUGCAGAAUAGAAGAAGCAUUUGAUUUUUGUUUUGUUUCUUCACUUAAUUUUUUCCAUGAUAAAGCACAUUUUUCACAGAGAGGCACAAGAAAAGAACUGUACAACUCGUCUCUUCUUUACUUCACUAACAACAGAAUAGUAAAAUUCCGCAGACAUUAAAUAAAGAAAGUUCUGAUGAAUAAUAAGAAAGGAAAUUGCUUUUAUCAGCUUUUAGUUUUUUCUCUCUUUUAGUUUUUGUCUUUCUUAAGAGACAAUAUACCAAUGACACUGCAACACUGACAAAUCUGAGACGUAUUUUGUAAUUAUCCUAAUAGCAUUUUUACUUAUUUGAAUAAUAGUAUAUGGGAAAAAGAAUUAAAGGCAAAGUAAAGAGGAAACUAUAAAGAAACCCUUAGGAUGUUAUUACGAUCCCAAAGCAUAAAAGUUUGUGAUCUCAUUCUGUAAACUUCUUUUAUUAUACUACUAUUCGUUAUUUAAUCCCUUUGCCAUGCAAAACAUGUUACAUAUACACACUGACAAAAACACACCCCAUUUUCUUGAAAAUCUCAAGGUCAAUGCAUUGUUACCCUUGCUAGAACAUCAUUAUCCAGGAUUUUUUUAAUUAAAACGGGAUUCUUAAGAGAACAUAAAAAAUUGUUUUUUAAUUUUUAACUAAAAAAUUAAGAGACUAUUUUUUAAAGUAAGAAAACCUGGAAAAUGGUGCUCUUAGUUUUCACUAUAACUGAUAGUUUUUACUAGUGGUGCAAAGGAAUAAUGAAUAAAAUACUGUAAUUGAAUCAAAUUGGUGUAAUAAACAUAAUUUUCAGAAAACUACAAAUAUUCUCAAGGCAUUUCAUUUUUAUUUUAUU